UCUGCCUGUAUGUCUGUCUGCCUGCCUGCCUGCCUGCCUGCCUGCCUGCCUGCCUGUCUGCUGUCUGUCUGCUGUCCGUCUGUCUGUCUGUCUGUCUGUCUGUCUGUCUGUCUUUUAGUACAGACACAGUAGUGUUUAGAAUAAAAGUCAGUAGAGACUGGCUGAGUGGAGGAGCAGGCAGUAGAGAAGAACUCAGUAGAACUCAGUAGAACUCAGUAGAAGUUCACCUACCUGACAGAGGACUUGUUUAUCUUGUGGUUGAUGGUCAGGUACGGUCUGUGGUGUUUGGUGAACGGGGGCCAUGCAACUGGAACUCUACUGUCGCCUCUACUGGGAUCACUGGACAGAGGAGAGAGGACAGAUGCAUGCUGGGAGUUUACCCAGUCUUGGCGAAGUUGGUCCAGUAUGCGAUCAUAUAGCCGGACAGGUCCCGGUGUCGGGGGAAGUAGACCAGCGGGGUGGAGAAGGGUUUACCGAACAGGUAUUGCAGAUCCUCAGCGUGCUCCGCCCCCACCCAGCGAGGGAAUCCUGGGAUACGUGUCUUCAUGUUGAACAGAGCAAGGCAGCUUCUGCCCUGGAGGAACUAUCUCCCUGCCCUCGACUCCCAACAAUUCAUUGGUACCCGGUGUCAACGAUGCCCCGUGAGGCGGAAGACGCCAGAUCGAUCUGCCGUUCCGCCGGCCGGUCCACCGUGUGACCGUGUCACCGUGUGACUGCUGACAUCAUGAAAUCACAGCGAACCGGAACACUGGCGUCUCUGCCCCAGCAGCAGCUCCACGUCGAGGGCCGCGGCCGACACCGGGUACGAUGAAUUUUGCAAAGCUUCAACAACAAACUGUGACGUUGGAUCAGACCGGACCUGGAGUUGUCUGCGUGCAGCUGGAGGGCGAUCUGUGUCGGGACCAGGAACAGGAAGUCGGUCUCGAUGUCGGCCACCGUCUUCUUCAGCACCGCCGGCUCCGGG